ensembl:lncRNA
AUAAAAGUCGACCCUAAUCCCCCAUGACAUAUCUUUAAAGCAUCUUCCUUUAAGUCCUUGCUUAUCCCAUUUGCCGAGCUCUCUGCAGUCUGGGAUCACAUCACAAGGACAGCAUUGGCAGCACUUGGCAUGAAGCAGUCGUGUCAUUGGCAAGAACCGCGAGUGGGAAUGAUAACGCAGAGAGUGAAACAAGACCUACCUGGACGACUUAGUUCUGGAAGAGGAGAGGAAGGAAUGUCAAAGUUCAAUUGCACUGUCAGUGACAUUACUGUAAUGAAUCUGCAACCUCAGAAACCCAUCCUAAUACUACCAGGAGGAGAAAAAAAGGAGAAUAAUCUCAGGCCUCCCAAUUUCCACCGCUCUGCUCCCAAUCUUUCAGAUACAAAGCUAACAAAUGAGGAGAUGAAAGUACCCAAAGAAGGGGGUAAAUCUUUCAAAUUUUAUGCAACAGAGGCUCAAAGCAUGGAUAAUCUUGCACUGAGGAGACCGAUGAAAUUGACUCCUCUUGAGAUCCCCUUGGAGGUGAAAGAAGCUCAGCUGAAGAAGAUCAUGAGCCUUCAAAGGGAUGCUCAACUGGCAGCUUUUAAACUAGCUAGUGUUGGCUCUUUUAAUAACGAGCCUCAUAUUAAACGGGUUAAAAAUGUGACACUGGCAGAGGUGGAAAAUCUUCACAAGGCCAAGUCAGUUGAGAAGUCCAAUUUAGAGAAUCAAGAAGAUAUUCAUUUAUCAGCUGGUUCUAAGCCCUUGUGUGAGAUUCAGAUUAUUGUGCCCACAGAGGGAAAUAGCAAGAUAGCGAAAAAUUCUCCCAUGCCAUGUCGUAAACCGCUAACCCGCCAGUAUGUGUUUGAGAACCUUGAAACCUCUGAUCCCCAAGAUGAUGCAAAGAUUCCAGACAAUCCUUCCCAGGGAUCUGGAAGACACCGUUUCAAACUGAAACAGAUGAAAGAGCCACAAGAGCACUCAGGAAAAAACAAGCCCCUGAAGGCCAUAGGAACGAACCAGGAGGAUGUAAAGUUGAAAACAACAUGCCAGCGAGCUCAUAAGACUCUCAGUGAUGCAACCAAGUUAAUUGACUCUGUAGCCAAAAAGCACAGAAGCCAAAGUAGCGAGCAAGAGGAGACAGAAGAAGAUCUCCUCAUGGGUAGGCAAUCCUCACGAAGAAUGGCUCUUGGGGACAUUAUCUUGGUUGAUGAUGAGUGAAACUGGACCCUAGCUCUUAUCCUUUCAGGCUUGAGUCCAGAAUAUUGGUGGUUUCUGCAUUGUCAUAUCCAUGAAGGAAAAUGACAUCUCAUUUCUCUCAACGAAUCUACAGGUAGUUUCAUAGAUAUAUAUUUAUAUCUAUAGAACAGAAUAGACUGUCUUUGGGAAUGGUGGACUCUCCUUCCUUGGAGGUCUUUAACAGAAGUUUGAUGACCAUCUCCCAGGAGCACUUUAGGUGUGUGCAGUCCCUUCUGAUUUUUGCAUUUCCUUCUGAUUCUAGGAUCUCCCUCUCUUUCUCUCACCCCAGUCCUCAUCCAGGAACUGAAAGUCUCUGAGGAAGUUCUUAUCUAUAAUCCAUCAGUGGGAAGAAUGCAUGUGCUCUAAUUGGGGGUACUCUUCCCUUGCAUUUUCCAUUGACUUCAAUGCUGGCUUCACAAUAGCACCAAGUUAAAACUUGGUCCUUUAUAUUUAACUCUUUACCAAAGUUUUUGUGGCUUAGAGAACAUGGAUAGACCAGUUGGUUUGAAGUAUACUGUAUUGUGCUAUAGUUUAAAUUGUUACAUGCUUUUUAAUUGUUUGCGAUUGCUCUCUUUUCUGUACACUGCCUUGAGAUAUUUUGAUAUAUAGAUAUUUUGAUGGGAGAUACAUAUUUUAAGAAAUAAACAAGCAUGCUGCUAACAGCUUUAUUAUGCCUGACGAAUGUGCAAUAAAUAUCACUUGACCACACCAAUCUGGUUCUUCUAAGUUCGUGAGUGACCUUCAAAAAAAUUUCCUUUUCCUUUCUUUAAAUUGUUGUUUGAGGCAGUUGAAUUUGUAGUUGAUCUAUAGAAAGAUUAUGUCAGUAAGAUGGUUCACUGGACUACAGAAGCUGGCCUGGUCAAGAGAUUCCAGGUCAAGAGAUUUCAGAACCAAAACUAGAGACUGAUGAUGUCAUUAGGCUUAAUACAUUAAGCAUCAAGCAUUAAAAUAAAAUAAUAAAAAAACAACACCAAGGCCACUCGGAUAUGUUUGCUGGCUAUAUAAUGACUGCAUUCAGAUCAGGUUUGUGGAGUAGCAGCAUCACAUGCAGCAGUGUUGCACAUGAAAGUACAUAGGGCACAAUUGUGCAUAUGAUUGUGCGUUAGUGUACAUAUUUGGUGCUUUGGUUUAAUUGAACAACACCUUCAUUUAAUGUGAAAGUUGUAAAGCACAAUUGAACACAUUAGUGUUAUGCAGGAUUUCAAUUGAUAUCUAAAGCUAUGGAUUCAUCUCUCAGCUGAGGGGAGUCCCCAUGACUCUUAGCUGGAUUUGCAGCAGAAGUGCUUCAUUCAGUCAUUAUGCAGAUCAAGGUAGAAAGGGAUUUACUUUGUAGCUUUCUGGGAGUUCUGGAAUGUUCCUGGAAUUUUGGAGGUGAGGGCAGCUGGAUCAAAUUGGUUCUGGCCUGAUCCACAAUCUAUAUGUUCAAUGGACCCACUGCUGCAUUGCCAGACAAAAUAAGCUCCCUGGCAGAUGUUAUUUCUGGUGAGGUUGCACCAGGAUGCCAACCAUGUGAUUAGGAAAGGCAAUGUCACCAGCAAAGACUCUGGUUGGUAACACAGUGGUGGUGGCAAUGGCUCCAAUGCAUCUUUGGCUUUUCUUAGGGCUCCAAGACACUCUUAAGCUGCAUUGAGACAGUUUAGAGGAGUUCUGUUGAUGUGUGAGAGGCUAAUUGAGACAUAUACCUUUUCCCCGUCUCAAUUCCUCUCCUUCCGAAGAUCUGGCGAUCUGUCCAGUCUCACGGAAAUAAUAAAACUCUCAUCAGCCAGAUGUCAGCUGAAGUUGUGGUUCAGAGCUUUAUUAAUGUUAUUUACAACUAUGUACAAAUGUGCAGCUAACAUACAUGUCUCUUCUCCGGCAGAAUUAAUGGCUUAUCAGUGACUUAUGUCUGCUAUGUAAAACGGAAGCUGCAUUCCUGUCACUCUAUGCAGUAAAUCUAACUCUAUGCAAUUAACCAUUCCUCUGCUGGAAUGCUUACUGAAGCACUCACAUAUUCACUUUAACAAUGAGUGAACACGCUACAAUAACCAUUACUUUGACAUAUUCAUAGGGUAAAUGUAAACACAGCCUAAGGAAAAGAAAAAGAAAAAAAAUCAGAAUUUUGGAAAUAAAGUUUCUCAAGCUUUUUACAAAACAAAAACAAAUCUUAUCCAAUUUUUUCCAAGCACUGCUUUUAACAAAACAUCAAAGCAAGGGAAAUUUCAGUCAGUCAGCCAGUAGCCUUUAUUUCGGUCAACAAACCAUUGGCUAGAACAAGUUACAGUACAAUGAUGGAAUACAACAUUUGAGUAAUUUAUGACAUUGCAUUUGGCUUAUGGUUAAUAACAAGUAUGUCCAAUCUCUAUUGGUUAUUUGGCUAUCUUUAUAAUCUAAAACAAAAACUGAUUACAGAUUAGUAAACCGUCCCCUAGAUAUACUUUGUUAUACUCUCAACACUUACAGGUUUUUCAUGAAGCACUUACGGCUUUUUGCCGCUGAAAAGAGAAAUUUAGCCACCUGCUCCGUUACCCUUUUGUCAAGAUCAGACAGUAAAUAACUGCGGUACCAAUUUAGGGUUCUUCCGGCCAUUUAGAGAGUAGAGGGGAUAUUAACCUUAAUCUAUCAUCUUUGUAAAUUGUACAAAUAAAAAGUACAUGUAUUACAGUUUCGACAUUAUCCUCCCCACAAGGGCAUGCUCUAUGUUCGUAUUCAGUGCCUUUGUAUCUACGCUCUAGUAUGGCUGAUUUGAGUGCAUUAAAUCAAACAAGGGAAAUUUCAAGGAACCAUUCCCAUUAACUAGUGGCUCAUCACAAGCCACAUUUCUUUUCUUUUCACGCCUGGUUUAUAUAACACUCCUUCAUUCUCCAAAUAAUCACCAGACUCAGUAUCAUCAUGAUACGAAUUGAACAUCUCCUUGAAAAAGAAAUGAGUGUGGAGUUACAUUCCUAGAGAAUGCACAAUUAUGAUUUCCAACAGCCAAUGGCUAAACCAUAUAUGGAUACACUAGAAGCAAACAGCCACACACAUUGGCAAAUGACAUUCAUAUCUUGCACUAUGAUGGUAUUUAGUUGAGGAGUUGCAUAAAGCACAAGAGACAUCACUCAGCUGGUUCUUGUUUACAAUAUACAGUACCAAUAGCGGAAUAGCAUUGUUUCUUUCCUCUUUCCGCCUCCUUUUUCUCCGGUCAAUAAAUUG